UACAGAGGGUGCGAGCGUUGUCCGGAAUCACUGGGCGUAAAGGGCGCGUAGGUGGCGCGACAAGUCAGUGGUGAAAGCUCGGCGCUCAACGCCGAGUCGGCCACUGAUACUGUUGGGCUUGAGCACUGUAGAGGCUAAUGGAAUUCCGGGUGUAGCGGUGGAAUGCGUAGAGAUCCGGAAGAACACCGGUGGCGAAGGCGGUUAGCUGGGCAGUUGCUGACACUGAGGCGCGACAGCGUGGGGAGCAACAGG
rnacentral:rRNA from 1 species